rnacentral:rRNA from 1 species
UACAGGGGGGGCAAGCGUUGUUCGGAAUUACUGGGCGUAAAGGGCUCGUAGGUGGCCAACUAAGUCAGACGUGAAAUCCCUCAGCUUAACUGGGGAACUGCGUCUGAUACUGGACGGCUUGAGUUUGGGAGAGGGAUGCGGAAUUCCAGGUGUAGCGGUGAAAUGCGUAGAUAUCUGGAGGAACACCGGUGGCGAAGGCGGCAGCCUGGACCAACACUGACACUGAGGAGCGAAAGCCAGGGGAGCAAACGGG